rnacentral:lncRNA from 1 species
GAAACAGUGAAUAAAUAUUAGCUGUUAUUAUUUCAUGUUUCUGAAAAGUUGUGUAAAGAUAAUGGUUUUAUGUAAAAUUUUAUCUAUGAUGCCACAAAAGAAUUUAUUGAAAAGAAAUGCUUGGUGAGCUCCAUUGUGAAGUAAACAAUUACUGUGAAAUGUGCUGCUUUUUAAGGUCUGCAUUUUGGAUAGAAUGGGUUUAAAGUGAGGCUGUUCUUAGAAACAUUUAAAUCCCAUAAGGUUUGAAAGACCUUUCUUUUCACUGGUUCUCAGUAUGACUUGGCACAAAGAGAGUUACUUCAGAAGAGCCCUGGAGAAGUUCUCCAACUUGUCCGAGGUUGCCCAGCUAGGUGGCGUCAGGCUCAUCUGGGAAACAAGGACAAGUAACUCAGCAGCAUCCCUGAUGGAAUUCCUCCCCUGGACUACAAGCUUCUUGAGAGCUAGAACUGCAUCUUCCUCACCUUUGUGUCUCCCAUCUUCCAACCAAUAUCUGGCACACACAGAAUUGCACAACUGGAUGCAUCCAUGAGCUCGCUGAGUGUCAAAGCACAUCAAGCUACUUCAAUCCGGACUUCAAGAAUAAAAUUGUUCAGAUUGUAGCGUCUUGUAAAUUC